AUUAAACGCUGGCGGCAUGCCUUACACAUGCAAGUCGAACGGCAGCACGGGGGCAACCCUGGUGGCGAGUGGCGAACGGGUGAGUAAAGCAUCGGAACGUGCCCUGGAGUGGGGGAUAACGUAGCGAAAGUUACGCUAAUACCGCAUAUUCUGUGAGCAGGAAAGCAGGGGAUCGCAAGACCUUGCGCUCUGGGAGCGGCCGAUGUCGGAUUAGCUAGUUGGUGGGGUAAAGGCCUACCAAGGCGACGAUCCGUAGCGGGUCUGAGAGGAUGAUCCGCCACACUGGGACUGAGACACGGCCCAGACUCCUACGGGAGGCGGCAGUGGGGAAUUUUGGACAAUGGGCGAAAGCCUGAUCCAGCCAUGCCGCGUGAGUGAAGAAGGCCUCGGUUGUAAGNUCUUCGUGGGAGGAAGUGCAUGGCGUAAUACCUCGUGUAGAUGACGGUACCGUGGAGAAGAAGACACCGGCGUAACUACGUGCCAGCAG
rnacentral:rRNA from 1 species